CGCACUUUUCAAGUAGGGGAUGGCUUUCCUUCCCUUUCCCGGAAGUGGAUUUUUCCCUCCCCAUCUCCAGGUAGGAUUUAUGAACAAAUAAAGUUUGGUUUUGGGCAGCACAUCUAGUGGUUAUUUGUAAGGGUUUUUGUUGGUCUGCCUCUUAUUUGGUGUUUGCAUACAAGGAUGAUCUACUCCAAAUGUGCAUAAUUUCUCUG
rnacentral:misc_RNA from 1 species